rnacentral:rRNA from 1 species
GAUGAACGCUGGCGGCGUGCCUAAUACAUGCAAGUCGAGCGAACAGACGAGGAGCUUGCUCCUCUGACGUUAGCGGCGGACGGGUGAGUAACACGUGGAUAACCUACCUAUAAGACUGGGAUAACUUCGGGAAACCGGAGCUAAUACCGGAUAAUAUAUUGAACCGCAUGGUUCAAUAGUGAAAGACGGUUUUGCUGUCACUUAUAGAUGGAUCCGCGCCGCAUUAGCUAGUUGGUAAGGUAACGGCUUACCAAGGCAACGAUGCGUAGCCGACCUGAGAGGGUGGCCGCCCAAAGUGGAAUUGAGCACGGGCCCAACCCCCGCGGGGGGGCAGCAGUGGGGAUUCUCCGAAAUGGGGAAAAACCGGGAGGGAGAAAGCCCGGGGGGUGAAGAAAGGUUUGGGAAUCGAAAACCUUUGUUAUAGGGGAAAAAAAAAUGUAAAAGAAAAUAGGCGCGUCUGGACGGUACCUAAUCGAAAAGCCACGCCAAACUACGUG